GACAUCCUGCCAAAGCCCUGGAUGCUGAAAAGCACAUCACACUGGAGUGUGCUUCACUGAUGCGUUCAAACACAACUCCUGAACCACAAAUGUCAACAUCAGGCCCAUCAUCAUCAACACCAGUUGAAACACAAGACAGUUUAUGGGAACAUUUUGACAAUCGUAUCCGUGAGACCCAGAUGAUACACAAUCCUACAGCUGAUGCCACAGUGGAAGUGAAAAAAUACCUCAGCGAUGCGUUUUUGCCCAGAACUCAUGAUCCUCUAACUUACUGGAAAGAGAGAGCAGUAAUCUUUCCUCAUUUGUAUGUCCUAGCUAAAAAAUAUCUUUGUAUGCCAGCAACAAGUGUCCCUUGUGAGAGAAUUUUUUCAAAGGCUGGAGAAAUUAUCUGUAAAAAAAGAAGUAGGCUGAGUCCUUCAACAGCAGAGAAAUUAAUAUUUUUGAAUAAAAAUCUAUAAGAAAGGGA